GAUGAACGCUGGCGGCGUGCCUAAUACAUGCAAGUCGAGCGAACAGACGAGGAGCUUGCUCCUCUGACGUUAGCGGCGGACGGGUGAGUAACACGUGGAUAACCUACCUAUAAGACUGGGAUAACUUCGGGAAACCGGAGCUAAUACCGGAUAAUAUAUUGAACCGCAUGGUUCAAUAGUGAAAGACGGUUUUGCUGUCACUUAUAGAUGGAUCCGCGCCGCAUUAGCUAGUUGGUAAGGUACCGGCUUACCAAGGCAACGAUGCGUAGCCGACCUGAGAGGAUGAUCAGCCACACUGGAACUGAGACACGGUCCAGAGUCCUACGGGAGGCAGCAGUAAGGAAUCUUCCGCAAUGGGCGAAAGCCUGACGGAACAACACCGCGUGAGUGAUGAAGGUCUUCGGAUCGUAAAACUCUGUUAUUAGGGAAGAGCAAAUGUGUAAGUAACUAUGCACGUCUUGACGGUACCAAAUCAGAAAGCCACGGCUAACUACGUG
rnacentral:rRNA from 1 species